AUAUAAGCAUUAUUUUAUCAAUAACAGUAUACAAUAUCAAUGUAUAACUGUACUUCGCUAUUUUAAACUCGUCAAAGGGAAAAAGAGUUCCACUGGGGUGAACAGAGGGUGGGCAUUUCCCAACUCCCUUCCGGAACCGUAUUUUAACCCUGGGAUUCAGGUCGGACCUCCUUUAUCAGCACACCGUGGCAUCCAUCACUGCUGAGGAAUAGAGAUACAGAGCUGUGAAACCCUGUCUGCAGAUGAAGAGCAAUGGUUCCCAGUCCUGUUCCUGGGGUCUCAAAGGGAUGGCUUGCAACUUGAAAUUUCUUCAAAACGAUUGUCACUGUGUAGGGCACUGCACAGUUGGGUGACCAGGGCCAUCUGGGACUGUUGUCGUGGAGAUUUCCUCUAUUUACCAAAUCAUGGGAGCAAACCACACACACAAGUCAGAGUUAGUUAUAAAAGUCCACCUUUAAUUAUAUGAGCUCUAUCACAAUCCUGUGACUCUCAGAUAAAUUCAGUGUCCCUC